UAGUAGGUAGACUGGUCAUCCACUCUGGGAUCAACGCUGAGCUGCUGCAACGUGGCCAGACGGGACCUUAAUGGCUCUUUAACAUGCUGAUAUUCAGCUAAAGCGGUCAAGUUUGUUUUAUGCCACUUUUCCACUAGUCUCGCCUCAGCCCGGCUCGGCUCGACGCGGCUCCACCCGUGUGUUUUUCCACAGCCAGGUGACUCCAUCAGUUUUCAGCCAGGAGAUGUCGCAGUCCACAGAGGGGCGCCUGAGAAACAUCAGCAGUGUGCAGCCGCCUCUCGUCCUUGAGCGGUUUGACAUGAACAACACUACACAUCCUAAAGGACGGACGAGAAGACGGAGCAGCUGAUCCGCUGGAGAGCAGCCAACAACAGCCUGUUCUCCGGCAAGUGUAACGCUGCUGUGAAAGGAUUUGAGACUUUCUUGAAAGAGACUGCCCUGCAGGGAGUCCUCACCCCUGCCUGGGUGAAAAAAAAAUGGGAAAAUUUAAAACAAAAGUACAAAAGCUUGCACUGCAACCACUGGAGCUGAGACAGCGGCUGACAGCUUGUCUCUGAUUGCUUCUCCAGAGGACAACUCGGCACAUCCAGAUGCUCCAGGGUCCUCAUCAGGGGGCUGCAUGUCCUGCUCCUCCAUCUCCAUUGUCUCCAUUGUCCAGGCAGAUAUUGUGCAGGAUGGCACAGCAGGCAACAACCUCUGCCGAGAAGGUUGGACUGACCUCAAGGGCCUUAAAAAAGAUAGUCCGCCAACGGCUUUUCAUCAUGCCAAAUGCCCUUUCUAUGAUGCUCCGUGCCCGGGAGUGCCUGUGGUUGAACCGAGCCUGUACAGGGUUCUGCACAGGCUCUCGGUAGGGUGUGAUCAGGCAGAUGGGGGAAGCCAGGCAGGGGUAACCUCCAUCUCCCAGUAUGCACUUCCCCUCUGGUGGAUACAGCUGCCUGACAUAUACGGGGCUGUUUUUAAGCACCCGAGCAUCAUGGACAGACCCUGGGAAACCCACAAAUAUGUCCAGGAAGCGCCCCUGAUGGUUGCAGAUGGACUGCAGCUGUACGGAGUGGAAGAGCUUCCUGUUCAGGUAACACUGGUUGUUACCAGCAGGAGGCUUUACCCUGAUGUGGCAGCCAUCAAUUGCCCCCACAGCCACACUGAACAUGUCAGAUCCAGCCAAGUGACUGAAUCCAGAGCUGACUUCCUCCAGCUGGUGGUCACCUCUGGGGAAGUGGAUUACUUGCCCAGAAUGCUCAGGACAGCUUUGCUCACCCUGUGAACGAUGUCAUGGACGGUGGAUCUGGGGAUGUCAAAGGCCGUUGACACAACCCUGUAAGAGGCAGCAUGAGCCAGCCAAUAUAAAAAUAAAAGGACCUCAAUGUCCUUGGCCCAACCAUGGGCUGACUCCAGCUCCAGGGCAGCAACCAAGGCAGUGAUGGAGGGUCUUGAGAGCCUGAGGUUGGGGCGCAGGUCAACCAGAUCAUCCAAAUACUGCCUGAUGAUGGGCACUGUGGUGUUCAGCUGGCAGUACACCAUUGGAUUCAUGUUCUGAAAUAAAAAUAAAUCAAAUAAAGAAAUAAGAGUUAUUGGUGUAUUUUCUUUUUAAAAAUGUAAUAUUAUUUUGUUAUCACUUUACAAGGCACAAAAGUAGGCUAUAGGUAUACAGUUGCUUAUAAAUGGUCAUGCUUAGUAUGCUGCUUUGGGUUACUGCAAAAAAUGGUUCAUACCAAAAUAUAUAUUCUGUCAGAUAAUGUUUUUAAAUAGCCUAAACUAACCAUGAAAUUACCCAAGUAUA